ensembl:lincRNA Mirg miRNA containing gene
CUUCUGGGGUGAACAUGGACCCACUGUCAUCGGGCAAGGUCUAGGAUGGACAUGGAGACCCACCAUCUGGGAGAUUCCAGAGUGGACGUGAACCCACCAUCAUCAGUGUCCCUUGGGAAGGAGAGAACCCAGCAGCAUUCAUUACCACCCGAUGCUUGCUAAUGGUGUGACCUUGAAUGAGUCAGCCUGUCACCUGUCUGUGCCUCCGUUUGUCUGUCUGAGAGUGUUAAUGGCUGCUUAUAAGGUGCACACAGGACGAAUGAUGCUGAGUGAAUGGCAGUUGGACAUGUUUUCUUUGUUGAACCCUCUUUGAGGCCUCUCAGAAGCCAGAGAGAAUAGAGGACGGUGCAGACACCUUGU